ACCCCACACUGCAGGAGCACAACUUGGCCAACUAUCUCUUCUUUGUGAUGUAUCUCAUUAACAAAGAUGAAACAGAGCACACAGGCCAGGAGUCGUAUGUGUGGAAGAUGUACCAGGAACGGUGUUGGGAAUUCUUCCCUGCCGGAGACUGUUUCCGCAAACAAUACGAAGACCAGCUCAACUGAUUCAUGAAUCAACUGAUCAAUUCAACUGACUACUGAUCAGCUGAUCUAUUGAUCCAGAUGCAGAGACUCGUCCUUUCUUACUGAUCAAUGUGAAAGGGGCUGUUUCGUCACCUUCCUUCGUCAGCU